rnacentral:misc_RNA from 1 species
GAUGAAGAACGUAGCGAAAUGCGAUACGUAAUGUGAAUUGCAGAAUUCAGUGAAUCAUCGAGUCUUUUAACGCACAUUGCGCCCCCUGGUAUUCCGGGGGGCAUGCCUGUCCGAGCGUCAUUGCUGCCCUCAAGCACGGCUUGUGUGUUGGGCCUCCGUCCUCCUCCCGGGGGACGGGCCCGAAAGGCAGCGGCGGCACCGCGUCCGGUCCUCGAGCGUAUGGGGCUUCGUCACCCGCUCUUGUAGGCCCGGCCGGCGCUUGCCGACACAUCAAUCUUUUUUCCAGGUUGACCUCGGAUCAGGUAGGGAUACCCGCUGAACUUAAGCAUAUCAAUAAGCGGAGGA